rnacentral:rRNA from 1 species
UACAGAGACCUCAAGCGUUAUCCGGAUUUAUUGGGCGUAAAGCGUCCGCAGGUGGCUUGUUAAGUCUCCCGUCAAAUCUCUGGGCUCAACCCAGGGGCUGCGGGGGAUACUGGCGAGCUCGAGGAUGGGAGAGGCAAGCGGAAUUACCGGUGUAGUGGUAAAAUGCGUAAAUAUCGGGAAGAACACCAAAGGCGAAGGCAGCUUGCUGGAACAUUCCUGACACUCAUGGACGAAAGCGUGGGGAGCGAAGAGG